UGUGAACGCCUGUCAUCUAUCCUGCGGGAAAAUCGCGUUCAAUAGCCCGGCAUACCGCAGAGAUGAACACGGCGAUUGCUUUGUGGUCGCAGUUAAUUAACUCAAUCCGAAGGACUGCAGUCUAGAACUGUAGUGUACUACAACGGUACGUGAUGUCAUCAUGAAGCGCCACGUUCUGAAGUCCACGUUAACUAACAGAAAUUAUUAAAUGGGGUGAUCGGGUUUGGGACUUGGUUUUUAUCUCCUUGGGCACAAACUGGGGCUGGCUUUGGGGUUAAAGCGACAUACUCAUAAAGCAAUAGUGUGUUUAAUAAAUAAAGCAAGAUAGAGCAUCCGACUUGGCAACGAGACGUGAGUAAGUGUCCUCAGAAAAGCAUGAGCAGUGAUCGGAUUUGUUGGUGUGUCACGCCUCAUACAUUUUUGGGCACAGAGAGGUCACGCGAAUUCUUGAGGACUAGCAUAAACUGGUUUGCAUAUACCACAGUGCUCCUCAUUUCACUGCCUACAGCAGCAUGUCCAUUUUUGUCAGGCAAAUGAAAUUCUGUGCACUUUAAAAAAAUUAGACAAGCAUUUGAUUAAGAUUAUGACUCGUGAUCUGACUUUUUGGCCAUAGAAAGCAAAUAAGGGUGAUCUGUACAAUUAGGUUGGUGGUGACUGAAGAGCCCCAAAAUCCAUCAGACUGACCUUCAGAUUGGAUUCGACAUUGCUGUAGGUGGAACCUGAAACAGUUUAGCUGUCAGUUUUGCCUCGUGGUUUGGUUUAUUUUUAUUUUCCCUUGUUUUGUGUGGGUGUGUGUUAUUGUUUUAUUUGUUUGUAGCUUUAAGCGACAUGGUGUGUUUUAUGACAAAGUUCCCUUGGUCUCAUAUUGGCUUUUUAAUUUUUAUCAGCCAGCCAUCUUGUCUCUUUUGAUACCUGUGUCGUUAGGGGUAGUCGAUCACAAGUUAAUGCUUUUUAUGGGGAUUUUCUGAUGUUUGGCUGUUUUUUUUGUUUUUUUUUUCUGGAAUGGUAAGUAAUCCGAAAUAUUUUGACCAUGAAUAGUUAGUAUAGAGCACCCCAUGGACGCCAUACCUGCUAUCCAAGGGGGACAUAAAGGCUAGUCCACAUGAAUCACAUGUCUUUGGAUGAUGGGAGACGCCUCAGACAAUCUCCAAGUCCAAACGCUUACUGUAGAGCUGGGGGCAGGAAAUGUGUCUCUGUCCCUGGUAGUACAGCUACCCUGCCACUCUCAGUAGAAGUGAAUGUAAGGACAUAACAUAUAAUCAAGAGGUUCAUAACCUGACUGUAUUUCAGUAAAAGUACCUACUGUAUAUGUACUAAUGCAUGAAGAGUAUAACUUCAUGUAGAGGGUCUCAAGAGUGUAGUCACUGGUUUCUUUUGUGUUCUCAGGGGUUAAACUGUCUGGCAGUAUGUAUUGCACAGUUCUCUGUACUAGCUGGGCACCUCUUAGGUGGGUGUUGUUUGGUUAUACUGUACCUACCCUGGUUAUACUGUACCUACCCCGGUUAUACUGUACCUACCCCGUGUUCCAUAAUGUGUUUAAAUUAAUGAUUUUGCUUUUCCUCACUAAUAACUUCUGCCAGUAACCCGGCACAACAAACUGCGACCCCAAGCCUAUGAAAGCUUCCUUGUCCCCAUUAGUCCUUUUUGGCUGGGGGCCUUCAGUCCCUCCCCCUCUGUGUCCAAGCUCACUGGCCCCGAAAAUGACCCCCAAACACACAUCCCAUCCCCUGCCUCAUCCCAGCCUUUGCUUCUGCUAUCCGUCCUUCCAGAAUCCGUUUCAUUGUUGUUGUUUUUUUAUUUAUUCUAGGAACACUGAAUCCAAACCAUUUUCUAAUCGUCGUCUUGUAUAUCUUGUUUUUAUUUACUUGAUUAUAACAUUAUUUACUUAGACUGUCGAUGUAAUGAGCCUUUUAUUAUCACCAAAGUGCCACUCAAUCGCAUUCGCUAUUUUUUCAUUCUACUUAAGUUCUAUGCUUAGUUUAAAUAUUUAUAUGAAUUGUUCUUAUUUUGUACUUCAGAUAAAAUUCUCAUGCUAGGUAAUAAUCCCAUUUAAUAAGUUUCAUUUGCCAGCACGUUGAUUAAUGGUAUGGUAACCUUCCUUCUUUGAUAUGUCUGUUCACUGUACUAGUCCCUGAAUUCAAAGUGAUACAAGGCAUAUAUGAGUUUUUCUGAUGAAAGUGUGAUAAGGAUGGUUUCUUUAUUCAUUCUGUCCUCACAGGCUGGCAAUGAACUAUGGCUUUAGCACAUAGUUGCUUCUUUGUGCACUUAGAGAAAUGUUCAGAUACUCAUAUGUUGGAAGUUAAUUUUCAACAUUGUUUCAAAAUUCUUAAGACAUUUCUGGGCUGUUUUGUUCAGAAACACUUUUGUGUGUCACAUCCAUUAGCUUACUUUGUGAGGCCACCGGUAACAUCAUAUGUAUGUUUCAGUAUCAAGGCUAAUUUUUCAGUGUGAGAUAUUCACUCUUUAGAAAAUUAAGAGCUUGCUGAGCAAACUUUUUUUUUCUUCUUAUUAAAGGUUGAAAUACAUUAAGCUCUCAGCUUCAAAGUUGAGAUUGUAUUCCGCUUGCGGUGCUCGUUUCUGUAGUAUGUUGUAGUAUGUAUACAUGUUUUGAUAUUAGUACUGUUUUUCCAUUCUGCCUGUGUAUCUUAUAACCGUCUAUGGUGGUCAGAAUCAGAGCAGGGAUCCUGUAACCUUUUCCCAGGCAGCCUGGGGCACAAGUCUGCCCCCUGCAGGUCAGAUUCACAUAGUCAUACACAGCUUGGGUUUGGCCUGCAGGAGGAAACCGGAGUAGGUGUGAGACAGCGGUGUUACCCACUGAAUCACUGAGCCCAUGUGCCAUCACCACCCCCUGUCUUCCUGUAUAAUUGAUGCUAUGAUGCAUUAUAUAGGUGUAGCUCUUAUAACGUCCAUAAGCAUGACAUGACUAUUAUAUUGGAUGUGUUCAAAUCACUUCAUACAAAUCAAUUAAAAACACAACUAUAAUUGAAAAA